GAUCAGUGGCUCGAGGACGAACGCUGGCGGCGUGCCUAAUACAUGCAAGUCGAGCGGACAGAAGGGAGCUGCUCCCGGAUGUUAGCGGCGGACGGGCGAGUAACACGUGGGUAACCUGCCUGUAAGACUGGGAUAACUCCGGGAAACCGGAGCUAAUACCGGAUAGUUCCUUGAACCGCAUGGUUCAAGGAUGAAAGACGGUUUCGGCUGUCACUUACAGAUGGACCCGCGGCGCAUUAGCUAGUUGGUGGGGUAAUGGCUCACCAAGGCGACGAUGCGUAGCCGACCUGAGAGGGUGAUCGGCCACACUGGGACUGAGACACGGCCCAGACUCCUACGGGAGGCAGCAGUAGGGAAUCUUCCGCAAUGGACGAAAGUCUGACGGAGCAACGCCGCGUGAGUGAUGAAGGUUUUCGGAUCGUAAAGCUCUGUUGUUAGGGAAGAACAAGUGCCAGAGUAACUGCUCGCACCUUGACGGUACCUAACCAGAAAGCCACGGCUAACUACGUGCCAGCAGCCGC
rnacentral:rRNA from 1 species